rnacentral:lncRNA from 1 species
GCAGUUGGACUUUACCUCCCGUGUUAAUAAUAAGGAAAACUGUCGAACGCUAGAAGCUACCAUGCCUGUUGGUUUAGCUAAAGUUACUUAUACCAUGACUUUAAAAAGGUUGUUGCGAAAUGGUCUUACUCAUGAAGGGCUGAUAGAAGUAUUUCAAAAUUCAGUUUCAUUUCAAGAUUUUUAUGACCAAAUGAAAGUCAUAGGUAUCGAGCGUAAAGCUUCAAAGUCUCUUGCUGCUCGACUAUCAUCAAUGGGAUAUGAUUGUAAUGGUAAAGAUAAAAGUA